GAUGAAGAACGCAGUGAAAUGCGAUAAGUAAUGUGAAUUGCAGAAUUCAGUGAAUCAUCGAAUCUUUGAACGCACCUUGCGCCCUUUGGUAUUCCGAAGGGCAUGCCUGUUUGAGUGUCAUGAAACCUCACCCCACUUGGGUUUUUGCCUGAGCGGUGGUGUAUUGGGUGUUGCCUUGCUAAAGGCUCGCCUUAAAGACAUAAGCACCUUGGAUGUAAUACGUUUCAUCCUUCUGGGUGGCUGAUAACCCCACAUAUUCAUGAUCUGGCCUCAAAUCGGGUAGGGCUACCCGCUGAACUUAAGCAUAUCAAUAAGCGGAGGA
rnacentral:misc_RNA from 1 species